CUGGCUCAGAUUGAACGCUGGCGGCAUGCCUUACACAUGCAAGUCGAACGGCAGCGCGGGGCAACCUGGCGGCGAGUGGCGAACGGGUGAGUAAUAUAUCGGAACGUACCCUGGAGUGGGGGAUAACGU
rnacentral:rRNA from 1 species